GCACUUUGGCGGAGUGGUUAACGCGCGGGCCUGCUAAGCCCGUUCCUUCGGGAGCCUGGGUUCGAAUCCCAGAGGUGU
rnacentral:tRNA from 1 species